rnacentral:rRNA from 1 species
UUGAACGCUGGCGGCAUGCCUUACACAUGCAAGUCGAACGGUAGAGGGGCAACCCUUGAGAGUGGCGAACGGGUGAGUAAUAUAUCGGAACGUGCCCAGUCGUGGGGGAUAACGCAGCGAAAGCUGCGCUAAUACCGCAUACGAUCUAUGGAUGAAAGCGGGGGAUCGCAAGACCUCGCGCGAUCGGAGCGGCCGAUAUCAGAUUAGGUAGUUGGUGGGGUAAAAGCCCCACCAAGCCGACGAUCUGUAGCUG